rnacentral:rRNA from 1 species
AUGCGCAGGUCGAGCCGAUGGAGGAAGGAUUUGACGGUGAGGCAGGCAGGGCUUGGAAGCUUCUUGUAUGGUCACUUGCUCGAUGCUGAUUGGUGGAAGAUAUUGCGGGGCUCGGAGGGCUUUAAACUAGUGCAGUUGGUUAAAGAGGCAUGGACAGUGUUAUGUGAUAAAACCAAGAGACUAUUGUAUGAUCAAAAAAGGAAAGUAGUUGUACUACAACAGAAUACAGCCCAAUCAAAUAGGACAAGUUCAACUCAAGGUGCAACCAAUGGCUUCGAGAAUUUCGCAGCCAAAUCACCUGCUUUCAAGCAAAGAGCAAACAAGCCAAAGAACGGAAGAAGAGAGGAGAGUGAUCAAAUUUGGCCUUCAUACGACGAUGAUGAUGGCAUGCCUCGUUUCAACACAUUUAUUCAGAAAGUUAUCUCCUUGAACCCGUUUAAGAUCAAAAUAAGUUACCUCGAGUCGAAGACGAAUAGUGAAUUUGGACCAUUGAGUUGGGUUUCUUCUGGCUUUGCAAAGACGUGUGGUGAUUUCAGGAUUGCCAAACAUGAAAUCUGUGAUGUGGUCAACUUGUUCUCUCACCGGAUUAAAUGGGAGAAAGGCAAUAUCUGGGCUUUGUACCGAAACUGGUCACCUGAAUGGGAUGGAGAUACUCCAGAUAAUGUGCUGCAUGUCUAUGAUCUGGUUGACGUACUAGAUGAUUAUGACGAAGAUAAUGGAAUCUCUCUAAUUCCAUUUGAGAUGAGUUCAUUUCCAUUUGUGAGGGUGCUAACCGAACCCCAAGCGGCAGCAUUGUCUUGGCAUAAUGCGAAGAAAGUCCUUUGCAACGCAUCAUCCGUUUUGUCUUCAGGCUCCGCCUCUGCUGGUACCCUGGAGCCAGAUUCAUCAUACACCGCGGUCGACGGGCCUUCUUAUUCAUAUCAGGUUCGGAACCAAAAUAGAAUUACAGGGCUUAUUGUCGGUGCGUGCCGUCUCUGCUUGCGGGAUGGGAUAAUGAGGAUUGAGAAGGAGAACGGGGCGGGAUGGGUUAAUGAGGAUUAG